UGAAGAUGGAAAGGUGAUAAUACUGGAGU
rnacentral:piRNA from 1 species